rnacentral:rRNA from 1 species
AUUGAGCGCUGGCGGCAUGCCUUACACAUGCAAGUCGAACGGUAACAGGUCUUCGGAUGCUGACGAGUGGCGAACGGGUGAGUAAUACAUCGGAACGUGCCUAGUAGUGGGGGAUAACUACUCGAAAGAGUGGCUAAUACCGCAUGAGAUCCACGGAUGAAAGCAGGGGAUCGCAAGACCUUGUGCUACUAGAGCGGCCGAAGGCAGAUGAGGUAGUUGGUGGGAUAAAAGCUUACCAAGCCGACGAUCUGUAGCUGGUCUGAGAGGACGAUCAGCCACACUGGGACUGAGACACGGCCCAGACUCCUACGGGAGGCAGCAGUGGGGAAUUUUGGACAAUGGGCGCAAGCCUGAUCCAGCAAUGCCGCGUGCAGGAUGAAGGCCUUCGGGUUGUAAACUGCUUUUGUACGGAACGAAAAGCCCUGGGUUAAUACCCUGGGGUCAUGACGGUACCGUAAGAAUAAGCACCGGCUAACUACGUGCCAGCAGCAGCCGCCG